GGCGGGGUAGCUCAGCUGGUUAGAGCAGGCGUUUCAUACGCGCCGGGUCGGGGGUUCGAAUCCCUUCCCCGCCA
rnacentral:tRNA from 1 species